rnacentral:rRNA from 1 species
UACGUAGGGUGCAAGCGUUAAUCGGAAUUACUGGGCGUAAAGCGUGCGCAGGCGGUUUUGUAAGUCUGUCGUGAAAUCCCCGGGCUUAACCUGGGAAUUGCGAUGGAGACUGCAAGGCUGGAGUUUGGCAGAGGGGGGUAGAAUUCCACGUGUAGCGGUGAAAUGCGUAGAUAUGCGGAGGAACACCGAUGGCGAAGGCAAUCCCCUGGGCCUGCACUGACGCUCAUGCACGAAAGCGUGGGGAGCAAACAGG